rnacentral:rRNA from 1 species
UACGUAGGGUGCAAGCGUUAAUCGGAAUUACUGGGCGUAAAGCGUGCGCAGGCGGCUUUGCAAGACAGAUGUGAAAUCCCCGGGCUUGACCUGGGAACUGCAUUUGUGACUGCAUGGCUGGAGUGCGGCAGAGGGGGAUGGAAUUCCGCGUGUAGCAGUGAAAUGCGUAGAUAUGCGGAGGAACACCGAUGGCGAAGGCAAUCCCCUGGGCCUGCACUGACGCUCAUGCACGAAAGCGUGGGGAGCAAACAGG